UACGGGGGGUCCGAGCGUUAUCCGGAUUUAUUGGGUUUAAAGGGUGCGUAGGUGGCCUGUUAAGUCAGGGGUGAAAGACGGUAGCUCAACUAUCGCAGUGCCCUUGAUACUGAUGGGCUUGAAUGAACUAGAGGUAGGCGGAAUGUGACAAGUAGCGGUGAAAUGCAUAGAUAUGUCACAGAACACCAAUUGCGAAGGCAGCUUACUAUGGUUUUAUUGACACUGAGGCACGAAAGCGUGGGGAUCAAACAGG
rnacentral:rRNA from 1 species